rnacentral:rRNA from 1 species
GCUUUACUGUAUCCUGGAAUUGGGUUUCGGGCUUUUCUUGCGCAGUCUAGGUGGGAGGCGACGAAGGAAUUCUUCCGGGAAAUUUAGAGCCAAAAGUGAGAGACCACUCUGGAAGAACUAGAAUCCUAAGGGUGUUCUUAAAAAAUGUAUAAGACACUUAACAGUUUCAGGAGGGCAGUUUCACUGGGGCGGUGGCCUCCUAAAGCGUAACGGAGGUGUGCAAAGGUUCUUUCAGCCUGGACGGAAAUCAGGCAUUGAGUGCAAAGGCAAAAGGGAGCUUGACUGCAAGACCUACAAGUCGAGCAGGGGCGAAAGCCGGCCUUAGUGAUCCGACGAUUCCAAGUGGAAGGGUCGUCGCUCAACGGAUAAAAGUUA